AUCAUAUGAUUUCUGAAAUGUGGCUGAGACUAGAGAGAUUCUUACUAAAUGUUGUUUCUUCUUUCUGGGCAUACAUAAAGACUACAUUUCCCAUUCUCCCUUGCAGUUAGUUUGAAGUCACUUGACUAUAUUUUAGGCAUGCAAUUUGAGCAGACAUAUUCCAGGACUGGCUUUAGAAGUCUCCUGCAUGAAUCUCCAUACCUCUUCUCUUCCCAUGCUGUAGCAUUUGUGGAGGAUAUGUGUUAGAAUAGAGUCAUCACAUGAUGGAAGGAACCUGGGUUCCUGAGUCGCAGGGUGGAGGAGAGUCACAAAGGAGAGUCAUCUGGCCUACAUCAGACUAAGACAGAACACUUCACAUGUUUCAGAACCAGUAUUCUUAAGAACACAAGUUUGGGAAGAGCUUUGUGUUUCAGUUAUUCGGAUUCCCUUCUGGUUGCUAGAAUUCACUUGGAAGAUGGCUGCAAAUGCUGCCUGUAAAAGGCUCUGAAAAGUCCUUGGCCGAAGAAACUUGAUUACCCUUUUUUAUGUUAUUGUUCCUCAAAUAGAGUUUUCAAAAUUUUUCCUUUUUAAAGAAUUUCUCGUAAGGUCCCAGGAGUUGAUGCUCUGAGGAAAUGCAACCGAGAGAAUGCUCCUCUACAGUGAAGAUGUCAUGAGGACCCGGUUCCCUUCUGAGUAAACCCCAUGAGGUCAUGGAGCAAACAUGCUCUUGAUUGGAGAUGCACUUGACUUUGUAGAGCUCUUGAGGUUCGGCGGGAAAAGCCCAGAUAUUGGCAUCAUAGGGAUCAGGUACCAGCUUAGUGCCUGGGAAAAACUGUUAGAUAAUCCAGGUUUCAGUUCCUUUCUGAGUAAACCCCAUGGGAUCGUGGAGACAGUUACAUAAGAUCAUCUGUUUAAAUCUAAAUAGAGUGAAAUAUAAUAGGUACUCAGAAAAGGGAAGAUCAUAUGUUUUGUGGGUGGCAGUAAAAAAAUAGGGAGUCAAAAUGAAUCAGAUGGUCUGCUGAGAGAAGAGGAAGCCUUCUGCAUGUUUGAUUUCUUCAUCCAAUUGACCCUUGUAUGCUCAACCACAGCAGACAAGACCUUCCACAGGUUGAAAGGGGUAUAGGGAUAGCGGAAUAGUAUAUCAAAUAACCUGCAUUAAAAACAAACCCAGAGCAGAGGGCUUGCUUGCUUCCUUCCACAUUUGUCUCCUUGCCCUCUAAGUUGGGGCAUUUUGUCCUUCUUGUGUCUAAGGAUGGCUCAUUAGUUAAUGAACUCCUUUUUCCUGGUAAGGAGAAAGGGAGGAGGGGAGACAGAAUACUGCCCUUCUGCCCUUUCAUUUAGCGAAGGUCUUGUUAGGACUGUCACAUGCCCCUCUGGAGAAGGGAGCCGCCUGCCAGUCUGGAUACUCAAUCCCACUCUGCAGUUCACCACUCAGAAGGACAGGGGUGCUCUUGAGCAAGAAAGUGCUAACCUUUUAUUGCAGGCCAAUUUCAAAGCCUCUUCUACGUGGUUCACUAACAAGACUCUUGUGGGCUUUGCCUUUGUCUAUGGGUCUGCUAGGCCUCUAGGACGGCAGCUCUUGAGCAAUGGAACAAGCCCUUGAUCUGGGACAGGGGUUGGCAAACUCUAUCAAGGACUAUGGAGUAAACAUUUCGGGCUUUUCAGGCCAUAUCAUCUCGUCGCAACUACUCAACACUGCCUAGUAGCAACAAAGCAGCCAUGGAUGAUAUGCAAACGUGGUUGUCCAAGGAAACUUCACUUACAGACACAGAAAUUUGGAUUGUAAAUAUUUUUCCUGUAUUGUAAAGUUUCUUUUCUCCAAUCAUUCAAAAAAGUAAAACCCAUUCUUACAUGUUGUUCCAGACAAAAAGUAUAUGGUGGGUUGGAUUCAAUCCUUGGCUGCCAUUUGCUGAGCCCUGAGCUAGGACAUCAAGGUAUAGCUUGGAACGUUCUGGAUGAGGUACUUUGGACAAGCCUUUUACCUUCUGGAAAUGCACAUUAAAGAGAAUAUCAUCCAGCAAUGGGAUAGAAUGAGAUCAUGUCUAUGAAAUUGCUCUGAUAACUAUACAGUGUUUUUUAAAAUAUAAAUUAAUAUUUAUAUUAUCAAAGUAAGUCUUCAUGUAGAAAUGUUAACUCCAACUUAGGCAUGUGAAUUGUCCAGGGAUCAUUUAAAGAGGGAGAAUUUCAACCUUUGUGGGGAAGAAAGUAGUUUAAAUGCUCUUUUCCAAAUCUUUUUUAUUUUGUAGGGAAAAAUAACCUCAACUAAAAUGUGAUUUGUGGUUUGGGAUGUUGAAGAUUUUUGUUUUUCUUUUUUGCCACCACUCACAUUAUUUUAAAAGUUGUAAAAUCAGCCACAUAUUCAACUUCUCAUAUUAUUAUUUACUACCGUUUAAUUAAUUGCACCAGUAGUGGAAGCUUCUCUUUUGCAGUUAUCCCCCUUUUCUGUACAACAUGCAAGACAGGUAUCCCAACAAUUAAAACAGAAGCAAAUGCAGCACUUUCCAGAUAUGAAUAAUCUCCAAGUCUCAGUUUGACAGGUAUUUUGGAGUCUGGAGUAGGAUGAAAUAAGAAGAUGAGGUCUCACGCUGAACCCUCUAAGUCUUACAUUCCCUUAAGCUUUCUUCCGGGGGGUGUAGAGAGUAGCACUCAUACAGGGCUGCUGUGGCCUGCUCCAAAGAAGGGAGGCUUUACAAGUGUUACAUGAGGAGAGGCCACUGGAUCAAGCAUAGGAUUCUCAUUUCCAAAGGCAUGUUCCCAGCAGGAUGACAGUUGCAACUCGGACAGAUUGAGAGAAGGAACAGGCAACAGGUACUGCAAGGAAGAGAGGAAUGAGGCAGCCAGAGGAAGGAAGGGAAGGCCAAAGAGAUGUGAGUACACUUCAUUUUAUUUUUCUAUAUACAUGAAAAAUGCAGAAGUUGAUAUCAAGAUGGCUAGGGAGAUCUGAUCUAAAGCAAUUACCUGCAGUUGUAUUGCUCAUUUAACAACCCAUAUUUAACCAUAGGUCCAAGAGAAAGGGUGGAGGGGUUGGGGAAGGAAGGGCAGAAGAAGAGAGAGGAAGGGAGAACAGGAGAGGGAGUGGAGAAGGAGAAGGAGGAAAGAAAAGGUAUAGGGAGGAGAAAAGGAGAGGAAAAGGACAAGAUGAAGGAGGAAAACCAGAAAAUAACAUGAAGAGAGCAGAAUCACCUUGCACCCCAUGAUUUCACUCACUGAGACAGUUCUGGGGUGAGACAGGUGUGGGAGGUGUGUCUUCUGCACCCCAGGUAGAUUUGCUCCUUUGCAAACUGUGGGCAUCUUCCAUCUGGUGUUUACAGAUGCACAUUUUCCAUUCCACCAAUGCAAGUCAACUACUUAGUGGUAUAAAAGUGCUCAAACAGAUACAGCGUUCCUGUUUUCCCCUUGCCUCCUACCUUUGCCCUCUUUCUCUUCUUUUCUGUUUUUUUUCUACCUCCUUUUCACCAUAAACUUUGACUAACCAAUAAACCUCAACGUUUGCCAAAACAGUUCUCACAGGUUAUUGGGAUUGCACCAAACACCCAAAGCAAGAGAUACAAAAACAGGAACAAACUAUCACCAACCAUAAGUUUUCUUAAAGAUGAAAAUUGCCACCUGAUGCAAAAACUGCAAGGACAUGUACUCAAUCUACCCCCACCCUUUGAAAACCUUGAUUCUGCUUAAACAGAGAAGUUUCAGGUUCUCCCUGAUAUGCCCCUGUGGAAUAGAGUCUUUAGAACUUAUUUAGUCUCUAAAUAGAGACUCUAUUUAGACCCAGCCUCUGCUUGAGUCACUUAAAUCAUUUUCUUUCGACAGUACUCAAUAAAAGACUCAGUCUA